UCGGUAUCUCAAACAUCUGAGAACAACGUUGCCAUAAAUUUUUCACAGGAGCAAAUUUGAUCAGCUAAAAACAUCGGUUUUCUUAAUGUGCAACAUUUCAUCAUUAUGAAAUAAAAUGUUUAAACAGUAUAUUUGUAUUUGGUAAUUUCUAUUCGUUACUUAUGAAGAAGUUAUCAGAGUUAUCAAAAAAGUUCAUUUUUUCAUUCCAGGAUGAAAACUAACUUAAGCCAUUCUUAAGCUUAACUGAAGUAUUUACAAACUCAAUAUUCAAGAUGUAUUUGGGCCCUGCUGUGUUAAAAGGGGGUUAAGUGCAUGUGUGUAAAGUGUUGUCCCAAUUAAGGGACGACACUUUCCGCUUUUAUGGGUUUUUUUAUUUGCAGAAAGUCUCUUCUUAGUUAAAAUCCAGUUAAGACAGAAAGUGUCAUCCCUGAUAAACCUGUGCUGACUGCACAGGCUAAUCUGGGACAGCAUAUGCUUUAAACCCUUUUUUCACAGAGCGCGGCUCAUUUAAUUUUAUCAGCAGGUACAGAGGAGAGACAAAGAUGAGCAACCGCCACUUUAAGUGAACAUCAUGUGUGAGAUAAAAUCCACCUCCAGCACACUGCCUGUCUCCACAGUCACCCAGUCAUCUCACCAUCCACACUCAGUGAGCGGUAACUUUGGUAACCUUGAAGUCAGUGGUCUGUCUACAACCAGCGAGAGCAUGGUCAUCACAGCCCUGUGCAUGUCUGCGUCCUCCCCUGCCCCCUUGUCGCGCUACCACAGUAGGCAAGGCUAAUACCACUCUUACCAGUAUUGAUAAUCAACUCAUUCUCACUGCCAAGCAUAACAAGAACCGCCAGCCAGUGAACCCCUAACCCUAUGUGGGUAACCGUUGAGUCCAGCAGUAUUGGUAGCGGCUGAAGUCUAUUCUUCCAACAAUCAUAUCGCUAAGGUCACAUUGCAGCAGCAGGAACUUCUGAAGAAACAAACCCAACAGUUGAUACAGCUCAAGAUUCAGCAAGAACUGUAGAAGCAACAACAGGAGCAGCAACACCAGCAACUCAAGUUACAGCAGCAGAACAUGCAGUCCAAGCAGCAGCAGCGACCGCAACCUGUAGCAGAAGCUAGUCAGAUGGAUGGAGCCAAGAAACCAACAGCUAACAUCAACGGUGAACAGAACAGCUUGAACAACGUGAACGGGAAAAAUGCCCUUAAUGCAAAGCCAACAGUGAAAAUAAACAACCCAAAGGAGACUCUAAGUGCAUACUUGAGGACAGAGCCAGUGAUGAACCAAGAUAACAGAGCAGCUCCCAGCAAGGCUCCAUUACAGGUUAUUGAUGGAAGCCUGCAGAAAGCUGCAGCACAUCAACAGCAAGACCAGAGUCAGUCAGCCAGCAAGGGAAAGGCCACUAUCAGGAAGCCUUGGACAAUCUCAACCAUCAGAACCAGCCUGCACCUCAGUUACUGAGAAAAUGGACAACAUUCCAGUGCCCAUCAGUCUGGGCCUGCAGCCUGCACCCCUGAUUGCCCUCACUCACAGCAGAACGGGUUCAUAGGUCUAGGGCUUCUGGCGAAGGGUCAGGUGAGGCAGCUGCCCCAGGGCCAGGGGGCCCACAACGGGGAGGCUAGAACACCCACAACGGAGGAGAGAGGAAACAGCCACAGGACUCCUUUGAUCAGCUUGAUGAAGACCUACUCCAAAAAGAAGUGAACGUCACAACAAACGAAGAGUAACAGAACAAUGUAUUAGGAUUCUUCAUGCUGUUCAAACAGUUUUUGCUCACAGAAAAUGUGGAUGAGGCACAGGUUAUAAUUGUCCAGGCAUCUCCAGACAGUGAAGACUCAGAUGAGGACUUAAAAAGGCAAACAAAGAAAAACAGAAAUAACAGUGGAAAAAAGAAGUGGACGCCGCAGGAACAACGAGUUGUGAUGAGUGUAUUUGACAAAUAUAUGCAUCUUUACAAAUUGCCUGGGAAAUCAGAAUGCGAGAAAUUGCUAAAAGAAAACCCGUGUUUAAGUAGAAGAAGUUGGAGAAAUAUUAAAGACUUCGUUCAAAAUAAGACAAAUACAUUUAUCAAGCAUCAGGAAAAUUAAAAUGACUGAGGAAAGAACAAGAUGCUGUAGAUUUGAAUGCUGUAACUGGCAAUUUGUUUAGUUGCAUAUAUUUUUCAAAUUCACCCAAAAGUGUUUUGAAUGGAAAUAAUCCAAAACUGAAGAUAUCAUAAUAUAACAGUAAACAAUAUAUAACACUUUUUAACAAACAUUUGUUGAUUAGGCUGUUUGAAAUUUUGAACUAUAAAGUUAUAUUGUGAAACGAAUUUUGUCCAUGUUUCAUAUUCUGUAGGGAAAAUAUUGUUUUUGGCAUUCAGAAAUGGAGUAUGCUCAAUUGUUAUUUUUAUUAUAAAGUUAAGUCAUCGCAGCCUCGUCGAAGACAUUUUAUAUACAUGUUUGGCGACCGUCAUUUUCAAUAAAAUAUACAUGUAUGUUUUUUAAUUGCGGUUAUCAUUAUGCUUUAAAUAUAUCCAACAGAAUUUCAAACCCUUUUGGGUAGAUGUCUAAAAAAAGCUUUUCAAUUUAUUGUAGUAAAUAAGAAAUAAAAUCAGAAGAAUUGUUGUAUUAUCCACUUUUUUAUAAUGCAAAUAUAUUGAUAGGAAAUAAAAGUUUUUACCUUAAGUCAUGUUUUGAUGCUUGAAUUCACUGUAUAAGUAUUAUAUUCAAAAAUUCUGUCAUCUAUGAUCAAGGUACGGUAUGUUUUUAUGCCCCCUGAUCGAAUGCUCAGGGAUAUAUUGUUUUUGGCCUGUCUGUCUGUCAACCAUUCAUUCAUUCAUUCAUUCAUUCA